rnacentral:rRNA from 1 species
GAGUUUGAUCUUGGCUCAGAACGAACGCUGGCGGCAUGCCUAACACAUGCAAGUCGAACGGCUGUAGCAAUACAGCAGUGGCGGACGGGUGAGUAACACGUAGGAAUCUACCCAGUAGCCUGGAAUAACCGCGGGAAACUGCGGCUAAUACCGGAUACGCCCCCGGGGAAAGGAGCAAUCCACUAUUGGAGGAGCCUGCGUCCGAUUAGCUAGUUGGUGAGGUAAUGGCUCACCAAGGCGAUGAUCGGUAGCUGGUCUGAGAGGACGACCAGCCACACUGGGACUGAGACACGGCCCAGACUCCUACGGGAGGCAGCAGUGGGGAAUAUUGGACAAUGGGGGAAACCCUGAUCCAGCAAUGCCGCGUGGGUGAUGAAGGCCUUGGGUUGUAAAGCCUUUUGGCGGGGACGGAUGAUGACGGUACCGCCGAAUAAGCCCGG